GAAACCCGGGCUAAUACCGCAUAAUGUCUUAUUUUCACAUGGGAACGAGACCAAAGGGGGCCUCUGCUUGCAAGCUCUCGCCUGAUGAGGGGGUCGCGUCGUAUCAGCUUGUUGGUGAGGUAACGGCUCACCAAGGCUAUGACGCGUAGCGGGUCUGAGAGGACGAUCCGUCACAUUGGGACUGAGAUACGGCCCAGACUCCUACGGGAGGCAGCAGUAGGGAAUAUUGCGCAAUGGUCGAAAGACUGACGCAGCGACGCCGCGUGUGGGAGGAAGCCUUUCGGGGUGUAAACCACUGUCAGGAGGGAAGAAUCCCGAGAGUUCGAAUAGGGCUCUCGAUUGACGGUACCUCCAAAGGAAGCGCCGGCUAACUCCGUGCCAGCAGCCGCGGUAAGACGGAGGGCGCAAGCGUUGUUCGGAAUUACUGGGCGUAAAGCGCACGCAGGCGGUUUGCUCAGUCCUUUGUGAAAGCCCGGGGCUCAACCCCGGAAUUGCAUGGGAUACUGGCAGACUGGAGACAGGUAGAGGCUAGCGGAAUUCCUGGUGUAGCGGUGGAAUGCGUAGAUAUCAGGAAGAACACCUGUG
rnacentral:rRNA from 1 species